GACGCUGAGGAGCGAAAGCAUGGGGAGCGAACAGGAUUAGAUACCCUGGUAGUCCAUGCCGUAAACGUUGGGAACUAGAUGUGGGGACCAUUCCACGGUCUCCGUGUCGCAGCUAACGCAUUAAGUUCCCCGCCUGGGGAGUACGGCCGCAAGGCUAAAACUCAAAGGAAUUGACGGGGGCCCGCACAAGCGGCGGAGCAUGCGGAUUAAUUCGAUGCAACGCGAAGAACCUUACCAAGGCUUGACAUAUAGAGGAAACGUCUGGAAACAGUCGCCCCGCAAGGUCUCUAUACAGGUGGUGCAUGGUUGUCGUCAGCUCGUGUCGUGAGAUGUUGGGUUAAGUCCCGCAACGAGCGCAACCCUCGUCCUAUGUUGCCAGCACGUAAUGGUGGGAACUCAUGGGAUACUGCCGGGGU
rnacentral:rRNA from 1 species